UUGGGGCAUUGUCUAACCACAGGAUAAUGGAGUGAGGGCUCAUUGUGGUGUCAGCAGCUUAAUGCCUGGGGGUGUAGCUUACUAUUCCAUCCCUUGUAGAAUUUUCUACUGGGUCUCUGGAGUAAGCCUCGCUCAACCAGAACACAGACUGCCUUUCACGGUCCAAUAAUGAUGGUCUACCCAACUGCACAGAGGAGCCAAACAGGAGCUGAAACUAUGAGGUGAACAAAUAUAUCCUUCAAGUGUUUCCUUGCAUUGUUUCUCAGCGUCAGCCCCAACGUUGGCAAAGCCCACUGAGUAUGCUUAUUGUCUCCACUUACCCUGAAGACACAAGGAAGUUAGGCAAACUGCCCAGCAGAGUCCAGAACCUGGGAUGGAGACCUUGAAGCCAGCCUGCUCCACUGACCUUGAGAAUGUGCCUGGACCCUGAGGAGCUGUGGACGGAAACCACAUACCCAUCCUGGCAGCUGGGCGUGUUUGUGCCAGCCAGCCUUUGAUUAUGUAUAGCUCAUCCACUUAUUACACACAGAUCUUCAAUGCCUCUCAUGUUUCUCCUUUGUCUACCCACAGUGGUGAAUUAUUUCUUAGAGCAGCAAUAGCAUGGUUUGUCUUCUUCUGUGGCUUCUGCGGGACGCCAAGACACCCUCAGCAGAAAUUUCUUAAAACGAAAGGAAUAAAUACUUACUGAUUGAGUAAAUGAAGGAUUCAAUAAAAAAAAAAGCAAAUGUAGAA